rnacentral:rRNA from 1 species
UACGAAGGGGGCUAGCGUUGCUCGGAAUCACUGGGCGUAAAGCGCACGUAGGCGGAUUUCUAAGUCGGGGGUGAAAUCCUGGAGCCCAACUCCAGAACUGCCUUCGAUACUGGAAGUCUUGAGUCCGGGAGAGGUGAGUGGAACUGCGAGUGUAGAGGUGAAAUUCGUAGAUAUUCGCAAGAACACCAGUGGCGAAGGCGGCUCACUGGCCCGGUACUGACGCUGAGGUGCGAAAGCGUGGGGAGCAAACAGG